GUGCCUCUGAAAAGAAAAUUAUACGAAUUCUAGGUUUAUAAAUAUAAAAAUUAAAAAAUAAACCCCAAAAGGCCACAGACCCAGGGCUAAGCCCUGCAGCCAAGACUAGCAGGCCAUAAAGAUAAAGGAGCACAGGAAACACUGUUCAGGCAGGACUGACAAGCCAUAAAAAAAAGGAAUGCAGGAACCAGCCUGAGUUAAUGGGACUGAUUCAUGGGACGUCUGGCAGGAAGACAUCCCCCCCCAGCUCACUCAGGGCCAUCCUCCAGACCCUGAUAAGCCCCUACUUGUGCUUUUCAGCCAUUGUGUCCUACAGAGAGCAUUCCAAGAAACCGGACAGCCCAAGCCUAACCAGAGGUGUUUCAAAUACAAAUGCUCCAUCAGUUUUGACAAACGUUUAAAAAUAAUGAGGACCUGAAGACCCUACCCUUCUCCUGAUUUAGUAGCUCUGUUCCAGGAACCAGGGGGCCAUAAAACCUUCUGGCGUCCCCUUAUCUCCUGGAGCCAUAAAACAAUCCUGUAACUUGUGGUGCAUUCCCCUUUGACAUCCCCCAUCCCCUGGUGCUCACAGCCUCUGCCUUUAAAUACUUUUUUUCCCAGCCUCUCGGGGUCGACACCUCUGUCUCCUGCGUGGGAUAUGUGUCGGCCCGGAGAUCUCUGUAAUAGGUCUCCGUAAUAAACCUCGCCUUUGCUUAUUACAUCCAAAAUGGUCUCUCUGUGUCUGGGGUCCGCGAUUUCCCAAGACUUGAGUAAGGGUCUCUCUGCGUGGGAUCUUUCAUAUUUAUGGGGGCUCGUCCGGGAUCUGCGCGACUACCCCAGACUCCGAAGACCCCUUGGAGGUGAGUUGGAUGUUUGUCUGAGUGUUUCUGUGUGAGCGGCGCCGCAUUUGUCAGUCUGUGUCUGUCUCUGUUUUGGUUCCGCCGUGUGUGUAUAUAUGUGUGUCUUAGUACUGGUCUGUGGUAAGAGGGCAGAUGGGUAUUCCUGCCCUGUGUUAAGAGGGCAGAUGGGUAUUCCUGCCCUGUGGUAAGAGGGCAGAUGUGUGUUCCUGCCUUGUGCUGAGAGGGUGGAUGUGUAUUCCUGCCCUGUGCUAGGAGGGUGGAUGUGUGUUCCUGCCCUGUAGGAGAGUGGAUGUGUAUCCCCACUCAGUGCAGCUGCCUUUGUGGUCCGUGAGGACCCCCUGGCUGCGGAAGGGGGGACGCCCCGGGCCCGCAAGGCUGCAGCCCCUGGAAGACGUUCCACGGGCGGAGAACAGUCGGGAGAGCCCGGCUAUAGACAGUCAGGAGGACCUGACUUUGGUUUUCUGGAACAAAGGAGAUGGAAUGCUCCUUUUACCUAGGCGGGAGUGGACGAGGAAUCCCACUCCGUCAGAGGUCGAGUUCGGCUGCCUAUUUAAAUAUAGGCACGGACAAGUGUGCUUGGUCGUUAGGACAAGAGGACACUCUGGAAUCCUGUUGGGAGGUGGAAUCAGAUGGUCCAUCUCAUCCCAAAAGCAGCUAAGGUUAAGCUGCAGUUUGGGCCACGUACUGAAGGUACCAGGCAUCUGUGAAAGUUGGUUAUAAGAUGCUUUGUCUUGAUAUUGUUUGUCUGGCUUGUUUUCUGUGGUAUUGCCGAGUGUCUUUUUGGCUUUUGUUUCGUUUUUGAAUUUUGGACUGACGACUGUGUUUGAAUUUGGACUGACGACUGUGUUUAAAAUCUUGGACUGAUAACUGUGUUUGAAAUCAUGAAACUGUUUGCUUUGUUCGUCAAAGAGUUUUACUUGGUCCUCUUGGUGCUUAAGUUAAGAGUUAAAAAUAAUUUGCUUGAGAAAAAUUGUUUUCUGCCAGGGAGUUUUGUCUUUCUCUCUUGAGCCUCCUCCCAAGGAGAGAGGCGCCACCCUUUACUCCCCUUGAUCAGCCUAGCUGCUGUUAACAGUUGUGUAAACAGACAUUAACAAAAGCCUUGAGGAAGAAACCGCUCAUAAAUAAAAAAGUUCCCCAGAUUAGGCCUCCGGUAUGAAACAAGUAUAGUGAGUAAGAAACUUAAUUUUAUGGACCCCGCUCUAGUGGCGGUGUGUUGGUUGAUAGCCAAUGUUAAGUUUUUAAAACAUAGUGUUUUAUCUGUGCUUGUGCUUGAAACACACAGUAGGGGGGAGCGAAAUUAGCUGCGGAGCUGCUGCAGCGAGCAUGGGGACUUCUCAAGUCUCUCCCAAUUUUUCUGGCUCUUCAGGAGCUGUUUAAAAGAAAAAGGCUUAAGGUAAAAAGAAACACUAUAAAAAGAUUUCUUAGUGAAUUACUACACCUUGGUUUGCGAUCUCUGGGAAUCUCAUGGUGGACAGCUGAGAUAAGCUGGAAAAGGAUUUAAAUUUUGCUUAGAAACAAAGAAUCUUAAAGGUGGAGUUUCAGCCGGUAUGACACUUAGUGCAUAGCUGCCUAAAAGAUCAGAAAUGCUGUCAACAGGCUAUAAAAAAGGGACAGGCUGUGUUAAAAAUGCUACAUAAAGAAUAAUCUAAAAAGGCUGAGAGUGAGGUGGGGGAGGACUCUAAAGAAAACAAAAACAAAAAAGGAAUUUCUGCUUUUAGUGACCAGACCUUCAACUCUUUUGCUCACAGAAAGAGGGUGCUCAUUAAGAGAAGUUCUUUAAGGAGCCUGCCUUAUCUGCUGGCCCUAUUCCAAGAGAGUAGCCAGUCUCCAGCAUUAAAUUACUUUUCUCACUGGUCAUCAUUAGCAUGGAGAAUGCCUUUGAUCCUAUCCCCACAGCAGCCAGUUCCUGCCCCUGUGGUCGAAAUGUCCCAGGUUGGGGGACAGAGAAGCCCCUAAAAUAGUUUCAAAGAAUCUGCAACAAACUGUAAAGAACUUUGUUUUGUUUUGCCAGUUUAAAUUUAGAAUUCAGGCUUUGGCUGUGGCCGAGGUCAGGAUUAAUGUUUUCGUUUCCAUGGGCCCUUAGCCCACUGAGACAGUUUGGUAAAGGACUACUACUACAGUCCUGAUAUUCAGAGACAUGGAGAGAGCUAUAGUUUUUUUUUAUUAAAGGCUAAAAGACCUACAGGUGAUACAGAAAGAAAUCUGCUCACAGCUGACAGCAGCCUAUGCCCCGGAGACCCCUGAGACAUCCCAUCAGUUCCAGGUCGGAAGCAGCUACACUGAGCCCAGACACUCGAGCCUCGCUGGAAAGGACCGUACCUGGUGCUGCUGACCACCCUGACAGCCGUCAAUUCUCAGCCCUCACCAGCCGUGUACUAGCUGUUAGGGCUGAGAGCUGGGACCUAGAGGGAAAUUCAGUCAUGUUUGUCCUGGGUUCUAUCAAGAUAGGUGUGGGAUAGGCUUGAUUUCUAUUACAAAUGAUGUAACAUUACAUAUGUUAAUACUCCUAACACUUCUUGGGACUGUGCCUCAGGGAUCACAACCUAUAUAAGUUUAAAAGUUCUGAAAGACAGUCAUGACCUUGGUAUAUAGGUUUAGAUAGUGUCCAGAUAAAAUCCUGAUGCUAAAGACUUUUUAGCUGACCUCCAAGAAUACCUAACCUCCCUCUCAGAGGUAGUCCUUCAAAAUAAGAAAAGAUUAGACCUGAUAUUCCUUAAAGAAGGAGUCUGUGUGCUACACUGAAAGAAUGUUGCUUCUAUACAGACCAUUCAGGAGUAAUUAAAGACUCCAUAAAUAAACUUAGAAAAAGGUUAGACAAAAGACAGACAGAAAAACACAUCAGAGAUGGUUCGAGAGCUAGUUUAGUAGAUCUCCCUAGAUGACUACCCUACUCUCUGCUACAGCUGGGCCAUUAUUAAUAAUUUUCUUGGUUUUAGUUUUUGGCUCCUGCGUGACAAACAGGUUAAUUGCUUUUGUUAAAAAUUGAGUGGGUGCUAUGCGGUUGAUGGUUGUGAGACAACAGUACCAGUCAGUUAGGACAACUGGUGAGACCAAAUAAGACUUGAUAUCAAAAUUCUAAGAUUAGAAUUAUUUAAUAGGAGAAGACGGGAAUGAAAAGAAAAUUAUACGAAUUCUAGGUUUAUAAAUAUAAAAAUUAAAAAAUAAACCCCAAAAGGCCACAGACCCAGGGCUAAGCCCUGCAGCCAAGACUAGCAGGCCAUAAAGAUAAAGGAGCACAGGAAACACUGUUCAGGCAGGACUGACAAGCCAUAAAAAAAAGGAAUGCAGGAACCAGCCUGAGUUAAUGGGACUGAUUCAUGGGACGUCUGGCAGGAAGACAUCCCCCCCCAGCUCACUCAGGGCCAUCCUCCAGACCCUGAUAAGCCCCUACUUGUGCUUUUCAGCCAUUGUGUCCUACAGAGAGCAUUCCAAGAAACCGGACAGCCCAAGCCUAACCAGAGGUGUUUCAAAUACAAAUGCUCCAUCAGUUUUGACAAACGUUUAAAAAUAAUGAGGACCUGAAGACCCUACCCUUCUCCUGAUUUAGUAGCUCUGUUCCAGGAACCAGGGGGCCAUAAAACCUUCUGGCGUCCCCUUAUCUCCUGGAGCCAUAAAACAAUCCUGUAACUUGUGGUGCAUUCCCCUUUGACAUCCCCCAUCCCCUGGUGCUCACAGCCUCUGCCUUUAAAUACUUUUUUUCCCAGCCUCUCGGGGUCGACACCUCUGUCUCCUGCGUGGGAUAUGUGUCGGCCCGGAGAUCUCUGUAAUAGGUCUCCGUAAUAAACCUCGCCUUUGCUUAUUACAUCCAAAA